rnacentral:rRNA from 1 species
GCCCUAGUAACGGCGAGUGAAGCGGCAACAGCUCAAAUUUGAAAUCUGGCCCUCGUGGUCCGAAUUGUAAUUUGUAGAGGAUGCUUUUGGUGCGGUGCCUUCCGAGUUCCCUGGAACGGGACGCCAGAGAGGGUGAGAGCCCCGUACGGUUGGACACCUACCCUAUAUAUAGCUCCUUCGACGAGUCGGGUAGUUUGGGAAUGCUGCUCUAAAUGGGAGGUAAAUUUCUUCUAAAGCUAAAUACCGGCCAGAGACCGAUAGCGCACAAGUAGAGUGAUCGAAAGAUGAAAAGCACUUUGAAAAGAGGGUUAAAUAGCACGUGAAAUUGUUGAAAGGGAAGCGUUUGCGACCAGACCUUUUCCAGGCGGAUCAUCCGGUGUUCUCACCGGUGCACUUCGCCUGGUUUAGGCCAGCAUCGGUUCUCGUAGGGGGACAAAGGCCUGGGGAACGUAUCUCCUUCGGGAGUGUUAUAGCCCCUCGCGUAAUACCCUUACGGGGACCGAGGACCGCGCUCUGCAAGGAUGCUGGCGUAAUGGUCGUCAACGACCCGUCUUGAAACACGGACCAAGGAGUCGAACAUUUGUGCGAGUGUUUGGGUAUUAAACCCUCACGCGUAAUGAAAGUGAACGGAGGUGAGAGCCCUUCGGGGUGCAUCAUCGACCGAUCCUGAUGUCUUCGGAUGGAUUUGAGUAAGAGCAUAACUGUUCGGACCCGAAAGAUGGUGAACUAUGCGUGGAUAGGGUGAAGCCAGAGGAAACUCUGGUGGAGGCUCGCAGCGGUUCUGACGUGCAAAUCGAUCGUCAAAUCUGCGCAUGGGGGCGAAAGUAUGUAUUAUCCCG